rnacentral:rRNA from 1 species
GAUGAACGCUGGCGGCGUGCCUAAUACAUGCAAGUCGAGCGAACAGAUAAGGAGCUUGCUCCUUUGACGUUAGCGGCGGACGGGUGAGUAACACGUGGGUAACCUACCUAUAAGACUGGAAUAACUCCGGGAAACCGGGGCUAAUGCCGGAUAACAUUUAGAACCGCAUGGUUCUAAAGUGAAAGAUGGUUUUGCUAUCACUUAUAGAUGGACCCGCGCCGUAUUAGCUAGUUGGUAAGGUAACGGCUUACCAAGGCAACGAUACGUAGCCGACCUGAGAGGGUGAUCGGCCACACUGGAACUGAGACACGGUCCAGACUCCUACGGGAGGCAGCAGUAGGGAAUCUUCCGCAAUGGGCGAAAGCCUGACGGAGCAACGCCGCUUGAGUGAUGAAGGUCUUCGGAUCGUAAAACUCUGUUAUUAGGGAAGAACAAAUGUGUAAGUAACUGUGCACGUCUUGACGGUACCUAAUCAGAAAGCCACGGCUAACUACGUG